CGGUCCUUCAGCUUUUUUAAGACCUGUAAAAGAACUCAGAAGGUUGGGCCCCAAACCAGGCUUUUCACAAUGCCUUAAAGCCAGGAACUUUUCAGCACCCGCCUUGUAGAGGGGACUGUGUGCUUUUUACUUGGCAGCAGCAACAA